rnacentral:lncRNA from 1 species
CCCGCAACGCGGCCACCGCUUUCCGUGUGCAACUGCUUCAAUGGUAGUCGCGUUUGCCGCGCUCGUGCCUUCCCCGUUUUCUUCAUCGAGAGAGAGAAAGAGAAAGAGAGAGAGAAAGAAAGAGAAGGGGAACACGCGCUACUUUCUCGUGAAAAGACAAAAAGCCGCUAAGCAAACACGUGUAUGGAACUAGGAUAAAGAAAUAAAAAUGCCGUCAAAUAGUUUCUUCGACUUCCAUAGUUCCUUGAUUAUGAAUUAUUGAGAGAUGAUAAACCGGAAGAAUGAAAGAGUGAGAGCGUUCAAAAACGCGAGUGUUAUCAUCCACAUACUUUUUCGUGUUUCCUGUGUUUCCGGUCACGUGGAUCACGUGGUCGAUGAAACCCCUCCUCUUCUUUCGUAGUGGUGCUCUCGAGAGGAGGGAGUACCGGCUUGAAGGCAAGCAGGGGUGGCAGUUGGUAGUGGUGGUGGUGGUGGUGGUGGUAGUGCUGAUGCUGGAGGUUCAAGAACGAAAAGAAAGAUAACGAAGAGGAUACGCGAAAGAGGAUGCUGUGCCCUCGGGAUCCGAGACCACGUGGAAACUUUUACGGAGAACACUAUUGCAGAGAAAUAUACAAAAGAGCAAGGAAGAUAAAUUCUUUUGGAAGCGAAAAAGGGAGUACCAAGAGGGUACAAGGAGGACAACGGGAAGACAACCAGGCGGGUACCCGUCGAGGAAGCAUGGAGUCGUCCUUUCCCGGGCAAAGUAAGCGUCGAAACGGAACCAACGAAAACUUUGUUACAUCUGACGUUAAAGUUGCGGUGAAGUAAUCGCCAAGGAAUCCAUCGACCUGCGGAUAAAAACCACGAUACUCGGAGCUUGAUGGAUGAAGAUCGAUGGCGUGUACGCGGCAACGGCUUGCAAAAGCAACCACCCACCUACCCCCUACGACGGCAGCUACUCGCGGGCGCACGCUCAAUAUCGUUACACACCUCAUAUCCUGCCCUCCGACUUAAUAUCCUCUGACGCGUGCGAAAAGCCCCUAGGAUGCAAAAGAUAGUAAACGCGUCAGGUGCUUCUCGAAACGACAAAGGUGUUCUUCUUACAUUAUUCGACUCUCCCUAACAGUUAACUUCCUCUUUUGGCUAAUGUACUUUUUAUUUUAUUUUAUUUUAUUUUCAUUUAUUUACUUAAUAUUUUUUAUAAUAAAU